rnacentral:snRNA from 8 species
AGCUUUGUGCAGUGGCAGUAUCAUAGCCAAUGAGGUUUAUCCGAGGCAUGAUUAUUGCUAAUUGAAAAAUUGAGGAAUAGUUUAGUAAAACACACAGAUCUUAAGUAUAUAAUUCAAUGGCUUUUUACAAAUAUCUAUCUGUA